UAUUUUGUCUCAAAAUAUUGACUGUGGUGAAUUUCUUUUAAAUAAUUCUUUCAUGUCAUUCUGAUUUAAAUUCCAGGUCAGUAUUCUGUGGGUGCAACCAAUUCAAAUUAUGACAAAUCUACUGAAAUUCUUCAUCUUUGAAUUUCACCUAACCUUGAAUUUUGAUUAGAGGUCCCGUUGUGACUCAUAUUCAGAAGCCGCCCAGUGAUCAGUGACUCAGGGGUUCCUUAAACUCCUCUGAUUAGCUCUUAUUGUGUAUGCCAGCGGGUCGCUGGUUCUAAUCAGGUGGUCUUUGGUCAGCUCUGCAUCUGGGACUAAUCGGGCUGUGGUUUAACCCCUUCCUACCAGCACUUUAAUGUCUGCACCACCAAACUGGUGAUGUCAUCACCCUUCUUUUACCUCUUUUUCCCAGGCGUGUUUGUGAGUCAUUAUCAGACGGGUGAGGGCAGAAGAACAGAAGACACACAGACAUCAGAGCACCAGGAGGAACAGCAUGUGACCCAGUCCUCACAUUCAGGCAAGAUACCUCAGGAAGAAUACAGUCCGAUUUCUAUAGCGAUUAAUAAAAACCAUCAAGAUCUUACUGAGAUUCAUAGGCUGAUAUAACUGACUUUAACAACACAAUCCACACGCUUCUCAAAACUUUGAUACAGCUACUGGAUUAAUUAAAAAAUAAUAAUUAACCCAAAAAUUUAAAUUUGUCAUCCAAGAUGUAGAUGAGUUUGUUUCUUCAUCGGAACAGAUUUGGAGACAUUUAACGUUAAAUCAUUUGCUCAUCAAUGGAUCCUCUGCAGUGAAUGGGUGCCAUCAGAAUGAGAGUCCAAACAACUGAUAAAAACAUCACAAUAAUCCACAAGUAAUCCAGUUAAUCACUGAACGUCUUGAAAAGCUGUGUGUUGUACGAAACAAAUUCCUUAUUAAGAUGUUUUUAAGAGUCCUCUAUCCAUAAUAUUCAUUUCUCUAGAGAAAAAGUUGCCUUGUCUUAAAUCAGGAGAGAAAUAAUGAACAGAUCAAGCACCUUUUACAAGUGAAAACAGUCCUAAACAAUUCUAAACUAAUAUGUUUGGUGGAUUUUGAUGCGAGCGACAACAGAAGAUGGACAUUUUUUAUUAAUGAAAGAAGCGUUAUUAUGGACAAUGGACUUUCAUUUCAGCCAGAAGUGAUAGUUUUAAAGUUAAAAACACCUUAAUAAUGAAUUUGUUUCUUACAAACACACAGCUUUUCACUUCACAAGAUGUUAAUUGAUGGACGGGAGUCAUAUGGAUUGUGGGUUAUUGUGAUGUUUUUAUCAGCUGUUUGAACUCUCAUUCUGACGGCACCCAUUCACUGCAGAGGAUCC
ensembl:lncRNA